rnacentral:lncRNA from 1 species
UAAAAUCCACAAAAUUUGCCCCAUUUUCCCCAUUAUUUCCUCUCUUCUUUCCCUCUCAUCACUCUCUCUUCUCUCUCUCCCAAGACCGCCGCCGCCAGAAAUUGCCCACCGGCGGCGGCCGACCUCCAAUCCCAAAAUUUCACCAUAUAAUCUCCAACACCUCCUCUUUCCAUAUCUCCAAACUAAAUCCUUCAAAAAACCCUCAAACUCCUUGAAUCUUAGAUCUAGAAAACUUUCCCGUCAUUUUUUUGCCCAAAUUCUUGAAGCUCCAACCACUACCACCCUACAAUACCUACAUCAAUGGAUAGCGCUCCUCAAGACCUAGCUAUUGAUGUCAAUUCUACCCCAAAAAUCCGGUGACCAAAAUCCGGCGACCUCCCGGAAUACCCUCUUUGGCAUACCACCGUUUUUUCGGUCUUUUGAUGUGUAAAAUGGUAAAAUACUAUUCUUUUUCAUGGCUGAUUUUUUGUUUUUUGUUUUAAUUUUCAGAUUUUAUUUUUGUCUAUUAUUAAUUAUUUUAGCAUUAGUUUUUGAAGUUUGAAAUGUGAAAUUUCCUGUUUUUGCACUUGUUGAAGUAGUAAAAUAGUUUUGUAUUGAUAAAAGUGAGGUAGUGAAAAAUACUUAAGAGUAUAUGGUACUUGUUUGGUUGUUUGUUUACUGCUUCAAGACUCUUUGAGUACAACACUCAAAAGUCAAAUUGUUUGGUAAGAAAAUGUAGACCUUUGGACAUUGUUUGAAUAAAAGUCUAUCUUUGAAUAGUGGAGAGCAGAUUUUGUUUGAAAUACUUGACAAGAUUUGAACCAGAAAGUCUUGCUUUUUGAAUUUAAGAGCAGAUUUUGUAGAAAUAAUUGUCAAAAAUAUUGAUUUUUAUUUUUUUGAAAUAGUUGGUUGUUUUGAUAUAUAGGGGGGACUCCAUCACACUUCCAGGAGGCAUUUUAUAUAAUUGCUUUGUCACAAAAACAAAAAACAAAUUCAGCAGUUGAACACAUGAAAAGUAAGCUGAAAUGGUGAGCUUUGGGAGUGAAUCUUAGAGUGCAAACUUUUAGAAAAGUAUAAGUCCUCUUUAGAGUUCGUUUCUGGGUUCCCUCUCUAAGUUUUCGGGUUGUUUUAACACGGAUUUGCUGCUGUUUUUACGCUGUUUUAGUUGCUGAAUUACUGUUUAUUCUUUUGCUACCAGGUAAUCCUUUAAGACUCGUAAUGUACGUAUUUUCAGUAAUGGGAACAACUUGAANNNNN